rnacentral:rRNA from 1 species
UACAGAGGUGGCAAGCGUUGUUCGGAAUUACUGGGCGUAAAGGGCGCGUAGGCGGCCAUCUAAGUCAGACGUGAAAUCCCCCGGCUUAACCUGGGAACUGCGUCUGAUACUGGAAGGCUUGAGUAUGGGAGAGGGAUGUAGAAUUCCUGGUGUAGCGGUGAAAUGCGCAGAUAUCAGGAAGAACACCCGUGGCGAAGGCGGCUCUCUGGGACGGUACUGACGCUGAGACGCGAAAGCGUGGGGAGCGAACAGG